GUGGUGGCUCAGUGGUAGAGUGCUUGCCUAACAAAUGUGAGGCACUGCGUUCAAUUCUCAGCACCACA
rnacentral:tRNA from 1 species